UACAUGUGGGGCAAGCGUUGUUCGGAAUUACUGGGCAUAAAGGGUGCGUAGGUGGUUUGUUAAGUCAGGGGUGAAAUCCCGCGGCCCAACCGUGGAACUGCCUUUGAUACUGGCGAACUUGAGUGCGUGAGGGGUAGGGGGAACGAGCAGUGUAGCGGUGAGAUGCGUAGAUAUUGCUCGGAAGGCCAGAGCCGAAGGGGCCCUACUGGUGCGCAACUGACACUGAGGCACGAAAGCGUGGGGAGCAAACAGG
rnacentral:rRNA from 1 species